rnacentral:rRNA from 1 species
CUUGGUCCAUUUAGAGGAAGUAAAAGUCGUAACAAGGUUUCCGUAGGUGAACCUGCGGAAGGAUCAUUAUUGAAUGAAUUUGGUUGGGCUGUUGCUGGCUUAAUUACAAGCAUGUGCACGCCUCCACCAAUUUUUUUUUCUUUUUAUCACCUGUGCACUUAUCGUAGACUUUUUCCAUUUUGUAAGGGGAGUUGCAAAAAAAAAAUUCUUUUCUUUUUGCUGUCCCUGACCUUUUCAAAAGAAAGAAAAAGUCUAUGCUUUUUCUAUAAACCCCUAUUUGUAUGUCUGUGAUUGUUUUUGGGCUUAAUUUGCCUUUAAUUUAUAUUACAACUUUCAACAACGGAUCUCUUGGCUCUCGCAUCGAUGAAGAACGCAGCGAAAUGCGAUAAGUAAUGUGAAUUGCAGAAUUCAGUGAAUCAUCGAAUCUUUGAACGCACCUUGCGCUCCUUGGUAUUCCGAGGAGCAUGCCUGUUUGAGUGUCAUGAAAUUCUCAAUCUAAUCAACUUUCUUGAGUUGAUUAGACUUGGAUAUUGGGAGUCUGUGCAGGCUUUGAUAUUUUUCAGGUCUGCUCUCCUAAAAUGCAUUAGCGGAAUCUUUUGCAGACCAGCUUUGGUGUGAUAAUUAUUUGAUACGCCGCUGUCUGGAURGCAAAUUAUUGAGGGUUCAGCUUCUAAUUYGUCUCUGGAAGACAAMACUUGACUGAKAAUUUUGACCUCAAAUCAGGUAGGACUACCCGCUGAACUUAAGCAUAUCAAUAAG